rnacentral:rRNA from 1 species
GUCUAUGGACAUACCACCCUGAAUGCACCUGAUCUCUUCUGAUCUCGGAAGCUAAGCAGGGUCGGGCCUGGUUAGUACUUGGAUGGGAGAAAGUGUCUUGUCAGCCAUUGUCA